rnacentral:rRNA from 1 species
UGGGGAAUUUUGGACAAUGGGCGAAAGCCUGAUCCAGCAAUGCCGCGUGUGUGAAGAAGGCCUUCGGGUUGUAAAGCACUUUUGUCCGGAAAGAAAUCCUUGGCUCUAAUACAGUCGGGGGAUGACGGUACCGGAAGAAUAAGCACCGGCUAACUACGUGCCAGCAGCCGCGGUAAUACGUAGGGUGCAAGCGUUAAUCGGAAUUACUGGGCGUAAAGCGUGCGCAGGCGGUUUGCUAAGACCGAUGUGAAAUCCCCGGGCUCAACCUGGGAACUGCAUUUGUGACUGGCGGGCUAGAGUAUGGCAGAGGGGGGUAGAAUUCCACGUGUAGCAGUGAAAUGCGUAGAGAUGUGGAGGAAUACCGAUGGCGAAGGCAGCCCCCUGGGCCAAUACUGACGCUCAUGCACGAAAGCGUGGGGAGCAAAACAGGAUUAGAUACCCUGGUAGUCCACGCCCUAAACGAUGUCAACUAGUUGUCGGGUCUUCAUUGACUUGGUAACGUAGCUAACGCGUGAAGUUGACCGCCUGGGGAGU